rnacentral:rRNA from 1 species
UGAGACGGCCAUAGGUUGUUGGUCACACCCAAUCUCCAUUCCGAACUUGGAAGUUAAGCUUCAACCGUUCACGCCUGUACUGUCUAAUGAUGGGAACGCGUGAAGUUGUCUUGU